ACAGCGGCGACGACGAGCCCCCCGUCCUGCACCCCCCGGCCCCCGAGCCCCGCCCCACCCACCAUCAGCCACACCAGUCCCUACCACAGCCUCCGUCCCCCGCCCCACACCAGGAGCGACUCAGAGCUGCCCUCCGCUGCGCCCCCUGCUCCCCCUAAAGCAGCAGCAGCAGCAGCAGCAACAGCCACAGCAGGUGUACAGCUGGCCCUACCCUCCACAACCACAGCAGUUCCAGUACCCUUAUGAUGCAGCUGAGGGGACUGACACUGCCACCACCACCACCACCACCGCCACAACAAGGGUUAUUCAGGUGUUGCCCCAAUAUGCUUCAACCCCACAGCCCCACUCCCCCAUGACAGUGCAGGCAGGGAAUGUCAUACAGGUUGUUCCAGGGAGGUGGAGGUGGGCCACACACACCUGGGUUACCUGUGGCUUGGCUGAUCUCCCUCCUCCAGCAGCAAAUCCCAAGAAUCAACGAGGACAUUGUGGACCCAGAGAUUGCAACAGCAGCAAGAGAGAGAGAGAGAAGCAAGAGAGGAGGGAGAGGAAGGAGAGGAGGAGGAGAGAGAGAGGGAAGCCAGGAGGGAGGCACGUCAGAGAGAGAGGGAGAGGAAGAGGUUGAUUCUAUUACAACAACAACUGCAACAACAACAACAGUUAGUCAGUGAGGAGGGGGAGGGUCCGUCCUCUGAUGCUGAGGAUGAGGUAUUGUUCAGGGUAAG